CCUACGGGAGGCAGCAGUAGGGAAUUUUCCGCAAUGGGCGAAAGCCUGACGGAGCAAUACCGCGUGAGGGAUGACGGCCUGUGGGUUGUAAACCUCUUUUCUCAAGGAAGAAGUUCUGACGGUACUUGAGGAAUAAGCAUCGGCUAACUCUGUGCCAGCAGCCGCGGUAAUACAGAGGAUGCAAGCGUUAUCCGGAAUCACUGGGCAUAAAGCGUCUGUAGGUUGUUUAGUAAGUCUGCUGUUAAAGACUGGGGCUUAACCCCAGAAAAGCAGUGGAAACUGCUAGACUCGAGUGUGGUAGAGGUAGAGGGAAUUCCUAGUGCAGCGGUGAAAUGCGUAGAUAUUAGGAAGAACACCAAUGGCGAAGGCACUCUACUGGGCCAUAACUGACACUGAGAGACGACAGCUAGGGGAGCAAACGGGAUUAGAUACCCCGGUAGUCCUAGCCGUAAACGAUGGACUACUAGUAUAGUGUCGUACGUACGUUAACCGUACGUCGAGUAGUACGUAGUACGUACGGUACGUUAAGUUACGUACCGUCCGUCGGUAGGUACGCGUCGCGAGAGUAGAACGUAACGUAAGUAAGUUAGUUAGUACGUUGUUAGAGAGCGACGACGACGACGAGGAGGAGG
rnacentral:rRNA from 1 species